AAUAUUUAGUAGAAAAUAGACAACUGGUAGCCGAGUGUGAGACGGGAGGGAAAGUAAAAAAAUACCGUAUUUAUCAUAAAGAAGUGUUUGUUAAUAAAUUAAUGUGCUAUUUUUUAAGCAAAUAGAUGCCUAGAAGGUUGAAAUGCCAUUCCAUCAUUGUGUCUCACGGUGAUGGUGAAACCAGAGCUUGUUUUCAUCCUGACGUGAUGGAAUAAUUUUAUGAUGAAGUUUAAAUUGUUUUCCCAUGUAAUAAUUGGUAUCAAGGAUUAUAUUUUUAGGUUUUUUAACCUGUCUGCAAAAUGUCUAUGUACUUGGACAUGAAGAAUGAGCAAAACAGGAGCAAAAUGACUUGGCCUGUGGUGUGCUAUUUUUAGCGAUGAUAAUCUCUUAACAAAAGUUAACAUUAUGAUUGGCUGUUUUCAUUGGGUUUUCCUGUCGAGAGUAGAAACAUAACAAACUACAAACUUAACCUGUUGUUCAUUUAUAUGUUUUAUAUAAGCACCCCUAGAUCUGUAUGUUAAUUAAAUCAACUACUCCUAAGCCUAUCUUACAAAAUAUCUUGACAUUUCAAUCAACAGGUGAACAAUAUGCUGCAAGGAAGAGCCGCUUUCUGAUGAAUGGGAAAGGAUGAUGCCUACCCUCUAUGGCAUGGGUUUGACAAACCAACUUCUGGCUCAGCUGUUCUUAAUCAGAGAAGGACAAUCAACAUGGGGCCAUGUUCUAUCCUGGUUCCUGGAGUUAUUUCCAGAUCAGAUUGUGACUGAGGGGCAACUGCAACACAAGAUUGAAGCCGCCAGGAAGAAGAUGACAGUCAUCAACCAGAGCUACAAAUGCGCAAUUUCACGAUUACGAGUCCUAACCUCUAGGCCAGUGACACCACCUAUUCUUGUCUUUAAAAUAAGGACAUAAUAUAUAUUGCUUUGUAUUAUAUUUGUAUAUAUAAAGAUACAAAUAUUGGUGACUAUAGAUCUUUAAUAGAAAAGUUCAAAACAACUAGAUCUAUUCCUGAGUCGUUUGAUACUCAUAUUUUUUCAUGAAUAUUGUCAUAUGUCCGCUUUGCUUAACCAAAAGAGCAUGUAGCCAUUUCUUGAUAGCAAUGUUUUUAACUGCAUUGCAUAGGUCUUGAAAUGCUGAGGAUUUUGAUACAUAAGAUUUGUUAUAAUAGCUUCAUUAGAUCAAAAGUUAUGGUCUUUUAAAUACUAAGAAAAUGUCCGAAAACUGCAAUUUUCUGUCGACGCGUGUUUUUUUUCCAUUUUUGCCAACUUUAACAUGGAUUAUUGUUAAUUCUGUACUUCUGUCAUGUCUGAAAAAAAUUGAGCUUAAUCUAUGUGUUCAGGGGUGAUGAUCCAUAAAGUAGGAACUCUGUGUGAUGCCUCAUUCUUAUACUGUGAAACUCACGAAAAGGGCUCGCAGCCAAUGUGUUACAUUUUUUGUAUGAAAUGCCUUGAUUUUUCACUUUUACAUCAGGCCUAAAUUUCUUUUUUUUACAAUUAUAUAAGAAUUUCUUUGGGUUUUUUUUUAAGAAUACCAUUGUCCUAAGCUUGAGAGAAAUGUAAACAUUUUGAGUUUCAGAUAAUUUUCUCUUAUGUUAUUCAUGUUCAAAGCUGGCAGAAUUUGGACUUUCUAAAAAUGUCCUUGAAAAUUCUAAGUCGGAAAAUCUUUAAACGUUUGUAACUUUUUUAUUUAUGAAGAUAAUUUGAUCUGGUUUUUUGCAUUGUUCCUUAUGUGAAAAGCAGUAUCUAAAUAAAACUGUAUUUGCAAUUUA
rnacentral:lncRNA from 1 species